UUAGUGGAAGCGUCUGGAAAGGCGCGCGAUACAGGGUGACAGCCCCGUACACAAAAGCGCAUGUGCUGUGAGCUCGAUGAGUAGGGCGGGACACGUGGUAUCCUGUCUGAAUAUGGGGGGACCAUCCUCCAAGGCUAAAUACUCCUGACUGACCGAUAGUGAACCAGUACCGUGAGGGAAAGGCGAAAAGAACCCCGGCGAGGGGAGUGAAAAAGAACCUGAAACCGUGUACGUACAAGCAGUGGGAGCACAGGUUUACCUGUGUGACUGCGUACCUUUUGUAUAAUGGGUCAGCGACUUAUAUUCUGUAGCAAGGUUAACCGAAUAGGGGAGCCGGAGGGAAACCGAGUCUUAAUUGGGCGUUAAGUUGCAGGGUAUAGACCCGAAACCCGGUGAUCUAGCCAUGGGCAGGUUGAAGGUUGGGUAACACUAACUGGAGGACCGAACCGACUAAUGUUGAAAAAUUAGCGGAUGACCUGUGGCUGGGGGUGAAAGGCCAAUCAAACCGGGAGAUAGCUGGUUCUCCCCGAAAGCUAUUUAGGUAGCGCCUCGUGAAUUCAUCUCCGGGGGUAGAGCACUGUUUCGGCUAGGGGGCCAUCCCGGCUU
rnacentral:rRNA from 1 species